rnacentral:rRNA from 1 species
GUUCCUGGCUCAGGAUGAACGCUAGCUACAGGCUUAACACAUGCAAGUCGCGGGGCAGCAUGAAGGAUGCUUGCAUCCUUUGAUGGCGACCGGCGCACGGGUGAGUAACGCGUAUCCAACCUGCCUGUUACCACGGCACAGCCCGUCGAAAGGCGGAUUAAUGCCGUAUGUGGUCUUGAAAGGGCAUCUGAUCAUGACUAAAGGUUCAGCGGUAACGGAUGGGGAUGCGUCCG